UCACGUUAUUCAUUGGACAUGGUACACGUUCUUAUAUUUAUUAUUUAUCAAAAAUUGAAAAAUAAUUAAAGAUGUAAACCAAUUUGAUUUUUCAUGAAAAUUAGGCACUUUACCAUGCUUAAAAAAUAAUAGUGAAGAUUGAAAAUUAACUAAGAACAUAAAUAAAUUUAUCCAAGGAAGAAUUAAAUAGCAAAUAAUGAAAAUGAUUAUAGAGAUUUAAGUAAUUAAGCAACAAUUUGAAGGAGAAUUUAGUAAUGUAAGUACUUAUAAUGAAUAAUAAAAUAAUCAAUAACAUUAAAUGGAUUAAAUAGAAAAGAAAUAUAUUAUAUUAAAUAAUUUAGUCACAUUUCCCACUUCUCAAGUACUUUCACGUUUCCCUGCCUCCCUCUUCCACUUCCCAAGGUUUUUUUUUUCCUUUUUUUUGUCUGAACUUCCCAUGGUUGCAGAUACACGCAACCUGCCUUCUCUCUCUCCUUUGGGCAUUCACCCAUCUCUCCCUUUUUAUUUUAUUUAUUUAUUCCUCUUCUUCCUCUUCCGUUUCACACACAUACUCUCUCUCUCCCUUUCUUCUUCUAUCUCUCCAUCUCUCUCCCUCUCUUUCUCUUCUUCCUCUUCCCUCUUCUCUCUCCUCCAUCACAAUCCAAAACAGUAAAACAUAAAGACCCACUCCACACCUUUUUUUCCCUCUUCUUCCCUUCUCUCUCUCGCUCUCCUGUAUCUGCUUUUCUUUUUCUUUCUUCUUCUAUCUCUCCGUCUCUUUCCCUACUUCCUCUUCCCUCUUCUCUAUCGCUUCAUCACAAUCCAAAACAGCAAAACAUAAAAACCCAUUUAAGGCUGAGUUUAAUUUUGU
rnacentral:lncRNA from 1 species